GCGGUAAUACGUAGGGCGCAAGCGUUAUCCGGAAUUAUUGGGCGUAAAGAGCUCGUAGGCGGUCUGUCGCGUCUGCUGUGAAAUCUGGAGGCUCAACCUCCAGCCUGCAGUGGGUACGGGCAGACUAGAGUGCGGUAGGGGAGAUUGGAAUUCCUGGUGUAGCGGUGGAAUGCGCAGAUAUCAGGAGGAACACCGAUGGCGAAGGCAGAUCUCUGGGCCGUAACUGACGCUGAGGAGCGAAAGGGUGGGGAGCAAACAGGCUUAGAUACCCUGGUAGUCCACCCCGUAAACGUUGGGAACUAGUUGUGGGGUCCUUUCCACGGAUUCCGUGACGCAGCUAACGCAUUAAGUUCCCCGCCUGGGGAGUACGGCCGCAAGGCUAAAACUCAAAGGAAUUGACGGGGACCCGCACAAGCGGCGGAGCAUGCGGAUUAAUUCGAUGCAACGCGAAGAACCUUACCAAGGCUUGACAUACACGAGAACGGGCCAGAAAUGGUCAACUCUUUGGACACUCGUGAACAGGUGGUGCAUGGUUGUCGUCAGCUCGUGUCGUGAGAUGUUGGGUUAAGUCCCGCAACGAGCGCAACCCUCGUUCUAUGUUGCCAGCACGUAAUGGUGGGAACUCAUGGGAUACUGCCGGGGUCAACUCGGAGGAAGGUGGGGAUGACGUCAAAUCAUCAUGCCCCUUAUGUCUUGGGCUUCACGCAUGCUACAAUGGCCGGUACAAAGGGCUGCGAUACCGUAAGGUGGAGCGAAUCCCAAAAAGCCGGUCCCAGUUCGGAUUGAGGUCUGCAACUCGACCUCAUGAAGUCGGAGUCGCUAGUAAUCGCAGAUCAGCAACGCUGCGGUGAAUACGUUCCCGGGUCUUGUACACACCGCCCGUCAAGUCAUGAAAGUCGGUAACACCUGAAGCCGGUGGCCU
rnacentral:rRNA from 1 species